rnacentral:rRNA from 2 species
CAUGAUUUACAUUUGAGUGAGUGGCGAACUGGUGAGUAACACGUGGGAAACCUGCCCAGAAGCGGGGGAUAACACCUGGAAACAGAUGCUAAUACCGCAUAACAACUUGGACCGCAUGGUCCNAGNUUGAAAGAUGGCUUCGGCUAUCACUUUUGGAUGGUCCCGCGGCGUAUUAGCUAGAUGGUGNGGUAACGGCUCACCAUGGCAAUGAUACGUAGCCGACCUGAGAGGGUAAUCGGCCACAUUGGGACUGAGACACGGCCCAAACUCCUACGGGAGGCAGCAGUAGGGAAUCUUCCACAAUGGACGAAAGUCUGAUGGAGCAACGCCGCGUGAGUGAAGAAGGGUUUCGGCUCGUAAAACUCUGUUGUUAAAGAAGAACAUAUCUGAGAGUAACUGNUCAGGUAUUGACGGUAUUUAACCAGAAAGCCACGGCUAACUACGUGCCAGCAGCCGCGGUAAUACGUAGGUGGCAAGCGUUGUCCGGAUUUAUUGGGCGUAAAGCGAGCGCAGGCGGUUUUUUAAGUCUGAUGUGAAAGCCUUCGGCUCAACCGAAGAAGUGCAUCGGAAACUGGGAAACUUGAGUGCAGAAGAGGACAGUGGAACUCCAUGUGUAGCGGUGAAAUGCGUAGAUAUAUGGAAGAACACCAGUGGCGAAGGCGGCUGUCUGGUCUGUAACUGACGCUGAGGCUCGAAAGUAUGGGUAGCAAACAGGAUUAGAUACCCUGGUAGUCCAUACCGUAAACGAUGAAUGCUAAGUGUUGGAGGGUUUCCGCCCUUCAGUGCUGCAGCUAACGCAUUAAGCAUUCCGCCUGGGGAGUACGGCCGCAAGGCUGAAACUCAAAGGAAUUGACGGGGGCCCGCACAAGCGGUGGAGCAUGUGGUUUAAUUCGAAGCUACGCGAAGAACCUUACCAGGUCUUGACAUACUAUGCAAAUCUAAGAGAUUAGACGUUCCCUUCGGGGACAUGGAUACAGGUGGUGCAUGGUUGUCGUCAGCUCGUGUCGUGAGAUGUUGGGUUAAGUCCCGCAACGAGCGCAACCCUUAUUAUCAGUUGCCAGCAUUAAGUUGGGCACUCUGGUGAGACUGCCGGUGACAAACCGGAGGAAGGUGGGGAUGACGUCAAAUCAUCAUGCCCCUUAUGACCUGGGCUACACACGUGCUACAAUGGAUGGUACAACGAGUUGCGAACUCGCGAGAGUAAGCUAAUCUCUUAAAGCCAUUCUCAGUUCGGAUUGUAGGCUGCAACUCGCCUACAUGAAGUCGGAAUCGCUAGUAAUCGCGGAUCAGCAUGCCGCGGUGAAUACGUUCCCGGGCCUUGUACACACCGCCCGUCACACCAUGAGAGUUU